rnacentral:rRNA from 1 species
UGGUCAAGUUAUUAAGGGUGCAGGGCGGAUGCCUUGGCACUAGGAGCCGAUGAAGGACGUGAUAAGCUGCGAUAAGCUUCGGGGAGUUGCACGUAAACUUUGAUCCGAAGAUUUCCGAAUGAGGAAACUCACUUAGAGUAAUGUCUAAGUAUCAUUAAGUGAAUACAUAGCUUAAUGAGGGGAACUCAGGGAACUGAAACAUCUAAGUACCUGAAGGAAGAGAAAGAAAUUCGAUUCCGUAAGUAGCGGCGAGCGAACGCGGAUUAGCCCAAACCAAUAAAGUUUUCUUUAUUGGGGUUGCGGACAUAUCAUAACGAAGAGGUAUCGUAAUUGAAGAGGUUUGGAAAGACCUACCACAGAAGGUAAUAGUCCUGUAUGUUAAACGAGAAGACUUUAGAUAUGAUCCAGAGUACCACGGGACACGUGAAACCCUGUGGGAAGCAGGAGGGACCACCCUCCAAGGCUAAAUACUACCUAGUGACCGAUAGCGUAUAGUACCGUGAGGGAAAGGUGAAAAGAACCCCGGGAGGGGAGUGAAAUAGAACCUGAAACCCUGCACUUACAAGCUGUGGAAGCACAUUUCUUGUGUGACCGCGUACUUUUUGUAGAACGGGCCAACGAGUUACGUUAAGUAGCAAGGUUAAGCACUUAAGGUGCGGAGCCGUAGCGAAAGCGAGUUUUAACUGAGCGUUCAGUUACUUGACGUAGACCCGAAACCGGGCGACCUACCCAUGAGCAGGAUGAAGCGAAAGUAAAAUUUCGUGGAGGUCCGAACCCACGAGCGUUGAAAAGCUCGGGGAUGACUUGUGGGUAGCGGUGAAAUUCCAAUCGAGCCCGGAGAUAGCUGGUUCUCCCCGAAAUAGCUUUAGGGCUAGCCUCAAGGUGAGAGAUACGGAGGUAGAGCACUGAAUGUCCUAGGGGGUAUUGCACCUACCGAAGACUAUCAAACUCCGAAUGCCGUCAUCUUAUACUUGGGAGUCAGACUGUGGGUGAUAAGAUUCAUAGUCGAAAGGGCAACAGCCCAGAUCGUCAGCUAAGGUCCCUAAAUGUAAGUUAAGUGGUAAAGGAUGUGGGAUUGCACAGACAACCAGGAUGUUGGCUUAGAAGCAGCCACUCAUUCAAAGAGUGCGUAAUAGCUCACUGGUCGAGUGAUCCUGCGCCGAAGAUUUCCGGGGCUAAAACUUACUACCGAAGCUACGGCAUCAUUAUGAUGGGUAGGGGAGCUUCCCAUACGGGUUGAAGCAUGACCGUAAGGACAUGUGGACAGUAUGGGAGUGAGAAUGUUGGCAUGAGUAGCGAGAUGUGGGUGAGAAUCCCACAGGCCGUAAACCCAAGGUUUCCAGGGGAAGGUUCGUCCGCCCUGGGUUAGUCGGGACCUAAGCUGAGGCCGAAAGGCGUAGGUGAUGGACAACAGGUUGAUAUUCCUGUACUACCGAUAACCGUUUGAGAGAAGGGAUGACACAGUAGGAUAAGCUAAGCACACUGUUGGUUAUGUGUGCCCAAGCAUUGAGGCAGUCAAAGUAGGCAAAUCCGCUUUGAUAAUGCUGGGAUGUGAUGGGGAGCGAAAUUUAGUAGCGAAGUAGCUGAUUUCACACUGUCAAGAAAAGUCUCUAUCGAGGUUAAAGGUACCCGUACCGCAAACCGACACAGGUGGGUGAGGAGAGUAUCCUAAGGCCAGCGAGAGAACUGUUGUUAAGGAACUCGGCAAAAUGACCCCGUAACUUAGGGAUAAGGGGUGCCACCAUCAGGUGGCCGCAGAGAAUAGGCCCAAGCGACUGUUUACCAAAAACAUAGGUUUCUGCUAAGUCGCAAGACGAUGUAUAGGAGCUGACGCCUGCCCGGUGCUGGAAGGUUAAGGGGAUCUGUUAGAGCAAUCGAAGCAGUGAACUUAAGCCCCAGUAAACGGCGGCCGUAACUAUAACGGUCCUAAGGUAGCGAAAUUCCUUGUCGGGUAAGUUCCGACCCGCACGAAAGGCGUAACGAUUUGGGCACUGUCUCAACAACAGACUCGGUGAAAUUGUAAUUCCGGUGAAGAUGCCGGAUACCUGCGACAGGACGGAAAGACCCCAUGGAGCUUUACUGUAGCUUGACAUUGGGUCUUGGUACUACAUGUACAGGAUAGGUGGGAGGCUUUGAAACCAGGACGCCAGUUUUGGCGGAGCCAUCCUUGGGAUACCACCCUUGUAGUACUGGGACUCUAACCAUAGGCCAUGAAUCUGGUCUUGGGACACUGUCAGGUGGGCAGUUUGACUGGGGCGGUCGCCUCCCAAAAGGUAACGGAGGCGCUCAAAGGUUCUCUCAGUACGGUCGGAAAUCGUACGUAGAGUGUAAAGGCAAAAGAGAGCUUGAUUGCAAGACAUACAGGUCGAGCAAGGAUGAAAAUCGGACUUAGUGAUCCGGUGGUUCUGCGUGGAAGGGCCAUCGCUCAACGGAUAAAAGCUACCCUGGGGAUAACAGGCUUAUCUCCCCCAAGAGUCCACAUCGACGGGGAGGUUUGGCACCUCGAUGUCGGCUCAUCACAUCCUGGGGCUGUAGUAGGUCCCAAGGGUUGGGCUGUUCGCCCAUUAAAGUGGUACGCGAGCUGGGUUCAGAACGUCGUGAGACAGUUCGGUCCCUAUCCGUCGCAGGCGUAGGAAAUUUGAGAAGACCUGUCCUUAGUACGAGAGGACCGGGAUGGACGUACCUCUGGUGUACCAGUUGUUCUGCCAAGGGCAUGGCUGGGUAGCUAUGUACGGAAUGGAUAAGCGCUGAAAGCAUCUAAGCGCGAAGCCAACUUCAAGAUAAGAUUUCCCACCGCAAGGGUAAGACCCCAGAAAGACUAUCUGGUUGAUAGGUCGAAGGUGUAAGUGCAGCAAUGUAUUUAGCUUAUCGAUACUAAUAGGUCGAGGACUUGACCAAU